UUUUUUUCAAGCUGAUGAAGAAGUAUGGACCCACAGGCGCCAAUUACAUUACUAGUUAAUAAUGCCAUCGCAAUACACUUAUGAUUUUGUAGUAGACAAGAAAUCACUGUCUCUGGGCACAGUCACAUUAAUUUAUAAACCAAAUCUGGCUAUGGCAGUUUUAUUUUAAAACCCAAAAGCUUACUUGGUUUUCAACUAUGGCUGUUACUUUUCUCCCCUUUUCUAUGUACUUACGGACAUGAAUUUUGUCUGGGGAUUCCUGAACGUGGCUGGAAUUGGAGACAAGAACUGGAAUAAAAUAUGAUCAUCAUUUUGGAGCAGAUACAUAAGCUUUAUAGUUAGUAACUUCUAUGCAUACUUGAUAUGACCAAAUGCACAGUAAAUAAGAAUGUAGUUAACUGCAAUGUUUUUCUCGCGAGUUCUGUUUUGUUAAAAGGUAUUUCUAAAAGCUGUGUCUCUUGUGUACUGAAAAUACAGAAGCCUGGGAUCUGCAUUGUCCUUUUCUGACUGUGAAAUAAGCCCAUCCAUUAUCAACAUUUCAUACAGUGAUUUAGUACCUUAGCCAUUCUUUAAAUAACACUAUUUAAAAAAUGUAUAUGUAUAUACACACACAUGCUUCGUUCCUGAAUAUUUUAUGGUAAUAGUUUAAUACUUCUAAUUUUGCAUAUGGGUGGAGAAAUUGUAAUAUAAUGAGAUUGUUUAAAGAUAAUAAAGCUAUUCCUGUAAUACUU